GACGUAGGGGACGAGCGUUGUCCGGAUUCAUUGGGCGUAAAGCGUGCGCAGGCGGUUUUGUAAGUCUGUCGUGAAAUCCCCGGGCUCAACCUGGGAAUUGCGAUGGAGACUGCAAGGCUAGAAUCUGGCAGAGGGGGGUAGAAUUCCACGUGUAGCAGUGAAAUGCGUAGAGAUGUGGAGGAACACCGAUGGCGAAGGCAGCCCCCUGGGUCAAGAUUGACGCUCAUGCACGAAAGCGUGGGGAGCAAACAGG
rnacentral:rRNA from 1 species